GUGGGGAAUAUUGGACAAUGGGCGAAAGCCUGAUCCAGCCAUGCCGCGUGUGUGAAGAAGGUCUUCGGAUUGUAAAGCACUUUAAGUUGGGAGGAAGGGCAGUAAGUUAAUACCUUGCUGUUUUGACGUUACCGACAGAAUAAGCACCGGCUAACUUCGUGCCAGCAGCCGCGGUAAUACGUAGGGUGCAAGCGUUAAUCGGAAUUACUGGGCGUAAAGCGCGCGUAGGUGGUUUUGUAAGUUGGAGGUGAAAUCCCCGGGCUCAACCUGGGAACUGCCUCCAAAACUGCAUGACUAGAGUACGGUAGAGGGUAGUGGAAUUUCCUGUGUAGCGGUGAAAUGCGUAGAUAUAGGAAGGAACACCAGUGGCGAAGGCGACUACCUGGACUGAUACUGACACUGAGGUGCGAAAGCGUGGGGAGCAAACAGGAUUAGAUACCCUUGUAGUCC
rnacentral:rRNA from 1 species